AAAGACAACUCUGUUCCGCAGAGUAGCUGUUGACAUUAUAGUUGCGCAGGCACUUUGUUGACUCUAGAGAACCUCAGGCCAAUCGCACAUGCCCGUGGCAGCGACUUUGCAUGUGAAUGUCAUCCAUAUCAACUUUCAAUGCCAGUUUCUGCACCUACCAUGGUGACCACAGGUAACGGGGAAUCAGGGUUCCAUUCCGUACAGGGACCCUGAGAAACAGCUACCACAUGCAAGGAAGGCAGCAGGUGUGCAAAUGUCCCACUCCCGACGCGGGAAGGUAGU